rnacentral:rRNA from 1 species
GACGAACGCUGGCGGCGUGCUUAACACAUGCCAGUCGAACGGAAAGGCCCUGCUUUUGUGGGGUGCUCGAGUGGCGAACGGGUGAGUAACACGUGAGUAACCUGCCCUUGACUUUGGGAUAACUUCAGGAAACUGGGGCUAAUACCGGAUAGGAGCUCCUGCUGCAUGGUGGGGGUUGGAAAGUUUCGGCGGUUGGGGAUGGACUCGCGGCUUAUCAGCUUGUUGGUGGGGUAGUGGCUUACCAAGGCUUUGACGGGUAGCCGGCCUGAGAGGGUGACCGGCGACAUUGGGACUGAGAUACGGCCCAGACUCCUACGGGAGGCAGCAGUGGGGAAUAUUGCACAAUGGGCGGAAGCCUGAUGCAGCAACGCCGCGUGCGGGAUGACGGCCUUCGGGUUGUAAACCGCUUUCGCCUGUGACGAAGCGUGAGUGACGGUAAUGGGUAAAGAAGCACCGGCUAACUACGUG